rnacentral:tRNA from 1 species
GCCCGCCUAGCUCAAUCGGAUAGAGCGUCAGACUCUUACCUAGGCAGGUGUAUCUGAAGGCUGCGAGUUCGACCCUCGCGGUGGGCU